GAAUUAUAUACUUAAUUUUUUUUCGUUGAGGUAGAAUUAUUUUGAUUAUGUAAAAUAUUAAGAAUUAUUUGAGUUUUUGUAUAGUUUAUAGAUAAAAUUUUAAUUUUUAUAGUUAAAUAGUAUUGUGGAAGAUAGUUGAAAUAUGUGAAAUAUAGGAAUUUUAUUAAAGUAGUUUGAAUGAUGUACCUUGUGUAUCAGGGUUUAUUAAAAAGAUUUUAAAUAUUUGAAUUUUCCCGAUUUAAAGAGAGCUAAUUGAUUCUGUUGUUUAUUGUUGAAUAAAUAUCAAUGAGGAUUAUUUAGUAAUGAAACGUUAUUCGUUCUUUAAGAUAUCUGGUUUUUCGAGAAAUGAAUUUAAUUCAGUCAAUAUUAUUUUUAUUUUAAUUAAUUAAUUGGUGAGAAAUAUUGAUAAUGAUUUGGGGGAUAAGCUCUAGAUUAUUGUCUAAAAGUGGUUGGAAGAAAAUAUUGAUAAAUUUAAUAAGCUUAGAAUUAGCUAUUUUAAACGGUGUUAUAACUUUGUUUUUAAAAAUUAAUAAUUUUCUAUAAAAUUAGGUUUUUUAUUGAAAUUUGCUAAAGAAUAGAUUUUUAGUAGUGAUAAUGAUAAAAUUAGUAUAAAAAUGUAUGAGUAUUGAGUAAUAAAUUAUGAUAGGUUAUAUUAAGGAACUAGGCAAAUGAAUGCUCGCCUGUUUAACAAAAACAUGUCUUCAUGGAAUUACUUACUAAUAUAUGAAGUUUGACCUGCCCACUGAGAUAAAAAAAUUUGAAGGGCCGCGGUAUUUUGACCGUGCAAAGGUAGCAUAAUCAUUAGUCUUUUAAUUGGAGGCUAGAAUGAAUGGUUGGACGAGGUAUUGACUGUCUCAAUAUUAUUGGUAAUUAGAAUUUAACUUUUGAGUUAAAAGGCUUAGAUUUUUUUAAAGGACGAGAAGACCCUAUAGAGCUUUAUAUCUGAAUAAUUAAUUUGUAUUUAGAAGUUUUAUUGUUUUAGUUGUUAAGGUAUUUUGUUGGGGUGACAAGAAGAUUAAAUUAACUCUUUUUAUUUUUGAACAUUGAUGAAUGAUUUUUUGAUCCAUUAUUAGUGAUUAUAAGAUUAAGUUACCUUAGGGAUAACAGCGUAAUCUUUUUUUAGAGUUCUUAUCGACAAAAAGGGUUGCGACCUCGAUGUUGGAUUAAAGGUAAUCUUGGGUGUAGAAGUUCAGGAUUUAAGUCUGUUCGACUUUUAAAUUUUUACAUGAUCUGAGUUCAGACCGGCGUAAGCCAGGUCGGUUUCUAUCCUUAAUAAAUUUAUAAUAUUUUAGUACGAAAGGACCAAAUAUUGAAAAUAAUGUUUUUAUAAGAUUGAUUAAAAUUAAAGGAG
rnacentral:rRNA from 1 species